rnacentral:rRNA from 1 species
UCGAGCACGCGCGUGUGGCAUAUCAAUAAGCGGAGGAAAAGAAACUAACAAGGAUUCCCUUAGUAACGGCGAGUGAAGCGGGAAGAGCUCAAAUUUGAAAUCUUCAAGGUUUUACCUUGACGAAUUGUAGUUUAUAGAAGUGUUUUCUGUUAGUAGAGUUUGGUAAAAGUUCUUUGGAAUAGGACAUCAUAGAGGGUGAGAAUCCCGUAUUUGGUCAUUCUUUCUAGCUUUGUGAUACACUUUCAACGAGUCGGAUUGUUUGGGAAUGCAGUCCAAAAUGGGUGGUAAAUUUCAUCUAAAGCUAAAUAUUGGCGAGAGACCGAUAGCGAACAAGUACCGUGAGGGAAAGAUGAAAAGAACUUUGAAAAGAGAGUUAAACAGUACGUGAAAUUGUCAAAAGGGAAGCGUUUGACACCAGUGUUGUUUUUCCGAAAAUCAAUUACGAAUGUUUUGUAUUUUGAGAAGUUAUGACUUCAUCGGCUUGCUUCUCUCUUUACGGAAACUUUCUCUAAUGCACUUUUCGGUUAACAAGUCAACAUCAAUUUCUUUUGUUGUAAAAGGGUAUGAGGAAGGUGGCUUUCUUUUCGGAGAAAGUGUUUAUAGCCUUGUGCCUCUGCAAUCGGAGAGAUUGAGGUCUGCAGCGUAGAUCCUUCGGGGUUAGAUACGUUUGUGCUAAGUUAUAGCUUUUCAUAGACAACUUGUUGACUAUGAUUAGUCAUUGUAGCUUACUCGCUGACUGCUAUUUUACCUACGCUUAGGAUGUUGAUGUGAUACUGCGAGCA